GUAUUGUAUGAAAGGAGAGAAGAUUAGCACUCCUCUUGAUAAGGAUGGAAGAGGUCCUAGUGGUCUUUACAACACAUAUACGAUUAAGGCAUUGCUAACCAUGUUUUUGA
rnacentral:ncRNA from 1 species